ACAACUUUCACUCUUGUUAUUCUUAUCCUCGAUUUCUAUUCCCCUCUCUUCUACACAGAGAGAUUCACCACCACUCCAUCACCAGAUGAUAGAAGAGAGAUUUACCACCGCUCUAUCAUCAGAUCCAUCUCAACCGUCUUCCUCUUCUUUGAAUCAACUAAUUAAGCUCCAAACGGCCAUGGAAGAUUAAUUGUAAGAAUGCGUAUGAAGGAAUCAACAAUUGUAGCAGGCUAGCAGCAGAACCAGAUGCGGUGUUCAAAUCAGAUGUUAAUGGUUGAAAUCACUCAGUUUGAGAAUUCAAGAGAAAGAUGAACAGGUGAUUGUUGCAAUUGGUAAGGUUUCAUUUGAGAGACCUGCAUCCAAGAGAUCUGAGAAGCACUAAAGUUUGAUUUUUGGUUGGUUAGGUUUUGUAUUGGGUUUUUAAUUUUAUUUGAGGAACCGAACAUACAUAUCAGGCUUUGUUGGUGUUGAGGUACUUGUGUUUGUUAAUUGUAGGAAGCAUCAGAGAUUCUAAUGGCACGGUUGAACUUGAAAGCAUAGGGAAAGGAAAUGAAAAGAACUAGGUGUGCUAAAAUUGGGAGCUCCAGACAAGAUUGAUGUGCUGAAAUGACAAGCACUUAUUGUUGGAGCUCUUAUGGGAUUGAUACAACUCAAAAGGUUGUUUCAGUCUACACUAUUUUGAAUCUCUGUAAUUUUUUCCUUAUAUAUUUGUUUUGAUUGGUUAUUGAAUGUUAAUUUUCUCUAGAUUAUACUGAUCAGGUAGCAAUCUUGGAGACAUAACCGCCUCUAAUUUGGAUUAUGGUGUUUUGAUUGAUUAUUUUGUUGAAGUCGCGGGUUAGAGUUGAAAGUGAUGUAUGAUAUUGUAUGUAUGCUGUUUUUGUUAAGGAUACUUGGAGUAACAAGCUUUAUCUCUAAGGCUUCGGUUGGAGUGGCAAGUGAAGUUGGAGACUUUGGAUGCCCGCCCUUUCAUGCCGUCAAGAACAACGAUAUUUACUAAAUCUGUUGGAUUUUAUGUUUUAGUUAUUAGAUUUUUUUGUUUUGGCAAUGUCUGUUGGAGUGAUGUAUUUGAUAUUUAAA